GGGGGCGAUCUGGGUUCGACGGAGGCUGGGAAGCCAGAGUCGCAUGCCGGGGUUCCGCAGGCCCCGUCAACAAAAGCGGACUGCUAUAAACGCAGACGAACCACUAGCACUGGCUGCUUAAUGCGGUCACGUCUUACCACCCUGCGCCCGUAGGGGUGGAUAAGGCGACACACUUCGGGCUAGGUCGCCGCCCUCGCCGGUAAGACGGCGGCCGAAACUCUUCUCCGGAUGGCGCCGAGGAUCCUGCCCGUGGGAGCCGACCGCGCGACAUUAAUUCACGGGCUACGCAUGUAGUGGCUCUCGGUGGACCACCUUCGGACGGGGGUUCGAUUCCCCCCGCCUCCAUCC
rnacentral:tmRNA from 1 species